rnacentral:rRNA from 1 species
CCACAUUCGGUGGGGAUUAGUGGCGAACGGGUGAGUAACACGUGGGCAAUCUGCCCUGCACUCUGGGACAAGCCCUGGAAACGGGGUCUAAUACCGGAUACUGAGCCACUUGGGCAUCCAAGUGGUUCGAAAGCUCCGGCGGUGCAGGAUGAGCCCGCGGCCUAUCAGCUUGUUGGUGAGGUAAUGGCUCACCAAGGCGACGACGGGUAGCCGGCCUGAGAGGGCGACCGGCCACACUGGGACUGAGACACGGCCCAGACUCCUACGGGAGGCAGCAGUGGGGAAUAUUGCACAAUGGGCGAAAGCCUGAUGCAGCGACGCCGCGUGAGGGAUGACGGCCUUCGGGUUGUAAACCUCUUUCAGCAGGGAAGAAGCGAAAGUGACGGUACCUGCAGAAGAAGCGCCGGCUAACUACGUGCCAGCAGCCGCGGUAAUACGUAGGGCGCAAGCGUUGUCCGGAAUUAUUGGGCGUAAAGAGCUCGUAGGCGGCUUGUCACGUCGGUUGUGAAAGCCCGGGGCUUA